rnacentral:rRNA from 1 species
UACGGAAGGCAGCAGGGGGAAUAUUGCACAAUGGGCGAAAGCCUGAUGCAGCUAUGCCGCGUGUAUGAAGAAGGCCUUAGGGUUGUAAAGUACUUUCAUCGGGGAGGAAAAAACAAAACUAAUAAUUUUAUUUCUUGACGUUACCCGAAAAAGAAGCACCGGCUAACUCCGUGCCAGCAGCCGCGGUAAUACGGAGGGUGCUAGCGUUAAUCAGAAUUACUGGGCGUAAAGAGGCACGUAGGUGGUUUUUUAAAGUCAGAUGUGAAAUCCCUGGGCUUAACCUGGAACUGCAUUUUGAAACUGAAAUACUAGAGUAUCGUAGAGGGAGGUAGAAUUCUAGGUGUAGCGGUGAAAUGCGUAGAUAUCUGGAGGAAUACCUGUGGCGAAAGCGGCCUCCUAAACGAAUACUGACACUGAGGGUGCGAAAGCGUGGGGAGCAAACAGGGAUUAGAUACC